GGAAGGACUGUAGUUCAGUGGAAUAAUACCAGCUUUGCAUGCAGAAGGUCCCAAGUUCAAUCCCAGGCAUCUCCA